rnacentral:rRNA from 1 species
UGAACGCUGGCGGCAUGCCUUACACAUGCAAGUCGAACGGUAACGGGUCUUCGGAUGCUGACGAGUGGCGAACGGGUGAGUAAUACAUCGGAACGUGCCCGGUAAUGGGGGAUAGCUCGGCGAAAGCCGGAUUAAUACCGCAUACGCCCUGAGGGGGAAAGUGGGGGAUCGCAAGACCUCACGUUAUUGGAGCGGCCGAUGGCUGAUUAGCUAGUUGGUAGGGUAAAGGCCUACCAAGGCGACGAUCAGUAGCUGGUCUGAGAGGACGAUCAGCCACACUGGGACUGAGACACGGCCCAGACUCCUACGGGAGGCAGCAGUGGGGAAUUUUGGACAAUGGGGGAAACCCUGAUCCAGCAAUGCCGCGUGUGCGAAGAAGGCCUUCGGGUUGUAAAGCACUUUUGUCAGGGAAGAAAUCCUUUGGGCUAAUACCCUAGGGGGAUGACGGUACCUGAAGAAUAAGCACCGGCUAACUACGUGCCAGCAGCCGCGGUAAUACGUAGGGUGCAAGCGUUAAUCGGAAUCACUGGGCGUAAAGCGUGCGCAGGCGGGUGUGUAAGACAGGUGUGAAAUCCCCGGGCUUAACCUGUGAAUUGCAUUUGUGACUGCACGACUAGAGUGUGUCAGAGGGGGGUGGAAUUCCGCGUGUAGCAGUGAAAUGCGUAGAUAUGUGGGGGAACACCAAUGGCGAAGGCAGCCCCCUGGGAUAACACUGACGCUCAUGCACGAAAGCGUGGGGAGCAAACAGGAUUAGAUACCAUGGUAGUCCACGCCCUAAGCGAUGUCAACUAGUUGUUGGGGAUUUACUUCCUUGGUAACGUAGCUAACGCGUGAAGUUGACCGCCUGGGGAGUACGGCCGCAAGGUUAAAACUCAAAGGAAUUGACGGGGACCCGCACAAGCGGUGGAUGAUGUGGAUUAAUUCGAUGCAACGCGAAAAACCUUACUUACCCUUGACAUGGCAGGAACUUUCCAGAGAUGGAUUGGUGCUCGAAAGAGAACCUGCACACAGGUGCUGCAUGGCUGUCGUCAGCUCGUGUCGUGAGAUGUUGGGUUAAGUCCCGCAACGAGCGCAACCCUUGUCAUUAGUUGCUACGAAAGGGCACUCUAAUGAGACUGCCGGCGACAAACCGGAGGAAGGUGGGGAUGACGUCAAGUCCUCAUGGCCCUUAUGGGUAGGGCUUCACACGUCAUACAAUGGUCGGUACAGAGGGUUGCCAAGCCGCGAGGUGGAGCCAAUCCCAGAAAACCGAUCGUAGUCCGGAUCGCAGUCUGCAACUCGACUGCGUGAAGUCGGAAUCGCUAGUAAUCGCGGAUCAGAAUGCCGCGGUGAAUACGUUCCCGGGUCUUGUACACACCGCCCGUCACACCAUGGGAGUGGGUUCUACCAGAAGUGGCUAGUCUAACCGCAAGGAGGACGGUCACCACGGUAGGAUUCAUGACUGGGGUG